rnacentral:tRNA from 2 species
GGGCCACUAGCUCAAUUGGCAGAGCAUCUGACUCUUAAUCAGAGGGUUGAAGGUUCAAGUCCUUCGUGGCCCA